AUUUAAUUAGUUUAUUAAAAAUAUUGAUUUGUGAUGUCAAAGAUACAUUUUAUGUAUUAAAUA
rnacentral:tRNA from 1 species